rnacentral:tRNA from 1 species
GGAGCGAUGGCCGAGUGGUUUAAGGCAGAAGUCUUGAAAACUUCCGUACCGGGAACGGUACCGUGGGUUCGAAUCCCACUCGCUCCGCCA